UACAUGGGGUGCAAACGUUGCUCGGAAUUAUUGGGCGUAAAGGGCGCGUAGGCGGCCUUGUAAGUCCUGUGUGAAAUCCCCCGGCUCAACUGGGGAACUGCACAGGAGACUGCUUGGCUUGAGGUUCGGGAGAGGGAAGCGGAAUUCCGGGUGUAGCGGUGAAAUGCGGUAGAUAUCCGGAGGAACACCGGUGGCGAAGGCGGCUUCCUGGACCGACACUGACGCUGAGGCGCGAAAGCUAGGGGAGCAAACGGG
rnacentral:rRNA from 1 species